UUAAUUGAAGCCAAAAUAGCGGCAUAUCACUGUUAAUGAUAAUAUUAGAAAAUUUUUCUCAAUUAAA
rnacentral:tRNA from 1 species